UCCUGGGCAACUGGGAGAGUAAAGUGGCGCACGGGUGAGUAACGCGUGGGUAACCUGCCCUUGAAUUGGGGAUAUUUCUUCGAAAGGGGAGUUAAUACCGAAUAAUAUUCCAAUUCCUUCGGGAGUUGGAAUCAAAGAUGGCCUCUGCAUGCAAGCUAUCGUUUAAGGAUGGGCCCGCGUACCAUUAGCUAGUUGGUAGGGUAAUAGCCUACCAAGGCAACGAUGGUUAGCUGGUCUGAGAGGAUGGCCAGCCACACUGGAACUGAGACACGGUCCAGACUCCUACGGGAGGCAGCAGUGGGGAAUCUUGCGCAAUGGGGGAAACCUUGACGCAGCAACGCCGCGUGGAUGAUGAAGGCCUUCGGGUCGUAAAGCCCUGUCAGGUGGGAAGAAACUUGUAGAUGUUAAUACCAUCUGCAA
rnacentral:rRNA from 1 species